AUAGGCAGAGAUCAAAGGAAUGGAGAUUACCCAGCGCCUGUGAAGUAAUUUACAUCUUGGUGUCUUUAGGCACCAUUAUUGUAAUGGAGAAUGCAGGAACCGGCUCCCUACAGAUAGCCAUCUUGGGACUCCUUUAAGUACUUUAAAUACUUUGCCCAGGCUAGCCCUGAACUUCCUGUAUCAACCUCUCCAGUGCUGAGACCUGUGCCACCACACCUGAAGGAACAAUGUUCUUGGCAAUGAGACUAUUGCAUAAAAUAAAAUUCUCAUGUGGUUUGUGG